rnacentral:rRNA from 1 species
AGCAGCCGCGGUAAUUCCAGCUCCAAUAGCGUAUAUUAAAGUUGCUGCAGUUAAAAAGCUCGUAGUUGAAUUUCGGGACCAAUAUGUCGGUCGUGCCUCGGUACGUACUGGCAUCGUUGGUUUCUCCCUUCUGACGAACCAUGAUGUCAUUUAUUUGGUGUCGUGGGGAAUCAGGACUGUUACUUUGAAAAAAUUAGAGUGUUUAAAGCAGGCUCACGCUUGAAUACAUUAGCAUGGAAUAAUGAAAUAGGACGUUUGAUUCUAUUUUGUUGGUUUCUAGGAUCGACGUAAUGAUUAAUAGGGAUAGUUGGGGGCAUUAGUAUUCAAUUGUCAGAGGUGAAAUUCUUGGAUUUAUUCAAGACUAACUACUGCGAAAGCAUUUGCCAAGGAUGUUUUCAUUAAUCAAGAACGAAAGUUAGGGGAUCGAAGACGAUCAGAUACCGUCGUAGUCUUAACCAUAAACUAUGCCGACUAGGGAUCGGAUGAUGUUAAUUUUUUAAUGACUCAUUCGGCGUACCCG